UACAGGUCAACCCGUUUUUGCUUCGGGUCAAAAAAUUCAGGUUCGAGUCAAGUAUUUUUAGGUUGGGUCGGGUCAACAAAUUCUGAUCCGUUUUGCCAUGUCUACCCAAAUGCAUGACCAAAAUCACCCACAUAAAAGUAUAAAACCCAUUUACUCCCUUACCCAAAAUUUGAAAACAACACCAUUUUUCAUCAACUCUUCAAGUUCUAAGUUCAUAAUAUUCAAUAUGAAAAGCACUACAGACUGGAUAAUUGCUCCAAGGUGUACUGGUUUUUCAUUCGGUGUGUGGUUUCCAUGCCACCCUUGUCAAGUGAACAGUUUCUUGCACCCUAUCUCCAUCUCAUUGUCUGUUCGAUCUUGAGCUGAAUCACUAAUAAUAACUAUACACUUGUUCUGUAAGGAUCCAAAAACCUAAGUUUGAUAUCGGAUAUCUUAUUCAAGCUACGGGGUGUAAUAUUAAGACACUGAUAAGUUUCUGUAAUUAACCAUUUGUUGCACUAUUUUUUGCUAGCUUCUGUUCAA